GACGAACGCUGGCGGCGUGCUUAACACAUGCAAGUCGAACGGAAAGGCCCUGCUUUUGUGGGGUGCUCGAGUGGCGAACGGGUGAGUAACACGUGAGUAACCUGCCCUUGACUUUGGGAUAACUUCAGGAAACUGGGGCUAAUACCGGAUAGGAGCUCCUGCUGCAUGGUGGGGGUUGGAAAGUUUCGGCGGUUGGGGAUGGACUCGCGGCUUAUCAGCUUGUUGGUGGGGUAGUGGCUUACGAAGGCUUUGACGGGUAGCCGGCCUGAGAGGGUGACCGGCCACAUGGGGACUGAGAGACGGCCCAGACUCCUACGGGAGGCAGCAGUGGGGAGUAUUGCACAAUGGGCGGAAGCCUGAUGCAGCAACGCCGCGUGCGGGAUGACGGCCUUCGGGGGGUAAACCGCUUUCGCCUGUGACGAAGCGUGAGUGACGGUAAUGGGUAAAGAAGCACCGGCUAACUACGUG
rnacentral:rRNA from 1 species